rnacentral:rRNA from 1 species
GUCCCAGCCGUAAACGAUGCUCAUUAGGUGUGGGAGGUAUCGACCCCUUCCGCGCCGACGCUAACGCAUUAAAUGAGCCACCUGGGGAGUACGGCCGCAAGGUUGAAACUCAAAGGAAUUGACGGGGGCCCGCACAAGCGGUGGAUCAUGUGGUUUAAUUCGACGCAACGCGAAGAACCUUACCUGGGCUUGAAGUGCUAGUAGUAGCUCCUUGGAAACAGGGAGUGUCCCGUAAAGUCGGAUGCUAGCAGAGGUGCUGCAUGGCUGUCGU